rnacentral:rRNA from 1 species
UACGUAGGGCGCAAGCGUUGUCCGGAAUUAUUGGGCGUAAAGAGCUCGUAGGCGGCCUGUCGCGUCUGCUGUGAAAUCCCGGGGCUCAACCCCGGGCGUGCAGUGGAUACGGGCUGGCUGGAGGCAGGCAGGGGAGAACGGAAUUCCUGGUGUAGCGGUGAAAUGCGCAGAUAUCAGGAGGAACACCGGUGGCGAAGGCGGUUCUCUGGGCCUGUUCUGACGCUGAGGAGCGAAAGCGUGGGGAGCGAACAGG